rnacentral:tRNA from 1 species
UGGCUCAGUGGUAGAGCGUUGGACGUCUAACCAACCGGUCCCGAGUUCGAAUCUCGG